CUGCCAAAAAAUUGUAGAUGACUCAAUUCCUACCCAGAAAGAUGCAAGCUCAUCAACAUUCAUAAUGAACAGUACUUGACGGUUGACACCCAAGACCAGUUAACCCAUGGCAACUUGGCAAGGAAAUCAACAAAACAGUUUGCCAAUAGAUCUCUAGUGGGUAGGUUUUGUUAUGCAUCCUUCUACAUCACUACCACAUAAUUAUACAAUGAAUGCACUUCAAUAUGAGAAACUUAGCAGUGGACGCAUUAACUACUAGGAAAGCGGAAACUGCACAUUGCAUAAAUCAAAUAGGGGUAGAACAAUAACAACCAAAACUUUCUAUCUCAUACUCAUGAUGAGUAUAGAAAUGCAGUCAUGAACUAACCCGUAAGCUAUUGUUCAAUAUAUACUUUCUCCUUGUUUGGUUUAUCACAUUUCUUUACCAUGCUCCAUACGAUAAGAGUUUGAUGUUAACCAAUAGAACAAAUGUUAUAAUUUAAGAGCUGCUAAAGUGUGAACAACUGGUUCACUAUUAUACUGCAUGAAAACCUUACAAAGUUCAGAGAAUUUAAGCACAUCAAAUCAUCUUCUCUGUCCAAUUUAAAUCAUUGUUUAUGAAAAUGAGAUUUUUCUCUCAAUCACGACGUUCAUCAUUUAAUCACAUUGCUGCCUUAAUAGAUUCUACCAUUCACAGCAUAAAGUCCAAUAGAUUAAGCAGAAAACAAACGGCAGUACACAAGUUAUAUUCCAACAUUACAUUGAGGAAGUAUAGAUUAGCAAACACACUCUGGUAAGGUGCGUAGAACACACCUAUGGUAACAGCAAAAACAAGAAACAGCUGAUCAUGACAACAUCAAUAUAUAAAAAGAGAUUAAAACUUGAGCACGGUGCACCAGGGCAUCACUCUGUUGGAAUACAAAUUUUGGGAAGUUACACAAGAAAUUAGAGAGUGUAUCAACCUUUGCUGAAGUAGAAAGAGUUAAGCCUUACUUACCUGUGAUCUUAAUUUUGUCUCCAGGCUUUGAGUCACACAGAAAAUUGCUACAGACGCCAUUCUUGGACGGAUCUUCCUUUCCUGUCUCAGGAUCAUAGUAAACAGCACGGCGCACACACAAGCUGGCUGUUUUACCAUCAAAAGAGUCU
rnacentral:lncRNA from 1 species